rnacentral:rRNA from 1 species
CAGCGCCGCGGAAUACGAAGGGUGCAAGCGUUACUCGGAAUUACUGGGCGUAAAGCGUACGUAGGCGGCUUUGUAAGUUAGAGGUGAAAGCCUGGUGCUCAACACCAGAACUGCCUUUAAGACUGCAUCGCUUGAACGUCGGAGAGGUGAGUGGAAUUCCGAGUGUAGAGGUGAAAUUCGUAGAUAUUCGGAAGAACACCAGUGGCGAAGGCGGCUCACUGGACGACUGUUGACGCUGAGGUACGAAAGCGUGGGGAGCAAACAGGAUUAGAUACCCCUGUAGUCCCUGUCUCUUAUACAC